rnacentral:rRNA from 1 species
CAGGAUUCCCCUAGUAACUGCGAGUGAAGCGGGAAAAGCUCAAAUUUAAAAUCUGGCGGUCUUUUGCCGUCCGAGUUGUAAUCUAGAGAAGUAAUGCCCGUGCUGGACCGUGUAUAAGUCUCCUGGGAUGGGGCGUCAUAGAGGGUGAGAAUCCCGUCUUUGACACGGACUACCAGUGCAUUGUGGUAUGCUCUCAAAGAGUCGAGUUGUUUGGGAAUGCAGCUCAAAAUGGGUGGUAAAUUCCAUCUAAAGCUAAAUAUUGGCGAGAGACCGAUAGCGAACAAGUACCGUGAGGGAAAGAUGAAAAGAACUUUGGAAAGAGAGUUAAACAGUACGUGAAAUUGCUGAARGGGAAACGCUUGAAGUCAGUCGCGUUGGCCAGGGAUCAGCCUUGCUUUUGCAUGGUGUAUUUNCUGGUUAACGGGUCAGCAUCAAUUUUGACCACUGGAAAAGGGCCUGGGGAAUGUGGCAGCUUAGGCUGUGUUAUAGCCCCUGGUCGCAUACAGUGGUUGGGAUUGAGGAAUUCAGCACGCCGCAGGCCGGGUUUCGACCACGUUCGUGCUUAGGAUGCUGGCAUAAUGGCUUUAAGUGACCCGUCUUGAAACACGGACCAAGGAGUCUAACAUGCCUGCGAGUAUUUGGGUGGAAACCCGAGUGCGCA